UGGGGAAUAUUGCACAAUGGGCGCAAGCCUGAUGCAGCCAUGCCGCGUGUGUGAAGAAGGCCUUCGGGUUGUAAAGCACUUUCAGCGGGGAGGAAGGCGAUAAGGUUAAUAACCUUGUCGAUUGACGUUACCCGCAGAAGAAGCACCGGCUAACUCCGUGCCAGCAGCCGCGGUAAUACGGAGGGUGCAAGCGUUAAUCGGAAUUACUGGGCGUAAAGCGCACGCAGGCGGUCUGUCAAGUCGGAUGUGAAAUCCCCGGGCUCAACCUGGGAACUGCAUUCGAAACUGGCAGGCUAGAGUCGUGUAGAGGGGGGUAGAAUUCCAGGUGUAGCGGUGAAAUGCGUAGAGAUCUGGGGGAAUACCGGUGGCGGAGGCGGCCCCCUGGACAAAGACUGACGCUCAGGUGCGAAAGCGUGGGGAGCAAACAGG
rnacentral:rRNA from 1 species